UGACGGUACUUGACUAAGAAGCCCCGGCUAACUACGUGCCAGCAGCCGCGGUAAUACGUAGGGGGCAAGCGUUAUCCGGAUUUAUUGGGCGUAAAGAGAGUGCAGGCGGUUUCUUAAGUCUGAUGUGAAAGCCUUCGGCUCAACCGAAGAAGUGCACCGGAAACUGGGAAACUUGAGUACAGAAGAGGGCAGUGGAACUCCAUGUGUAGCGGUGGAAUGCGUAGAUAUAUGGAAGAACACCAGUGGCGAAGGCGGCUGCCUGGUCUGUAACUGACGCUGAGACUCGAAAGCAUGGGUAGCGAACAGGAUUAGAUACCCUG
rnacentral:rRNA from 1 species